CCAAUCCUACCCGGCCAAGCGUGCUGGCAGCCGGAACCGAGUGUUGCGUGGUGCCGGGGUAACCCGGGCUGCGAAGCGUACACAGGGAACCUGUAGGCCGUGUGAUAGAGCCUCGAAAGUUUUUGUAGCGGAAGCCGACGCCGUUCAACCAGCGGAAGGCAACAUCCUGUUCACUUGUCAGCAAGGGGUGGCAGGGUUCCGCCGGGGUCAAAGAGCA
rfam:Delta proteobacterium NaphS2 ctg_1101087568008, whole genome shotgun sequence.